CCCCUCUCAGGAUCACAUCUAGUGAGUUUCCAGGACACUACCAGUCUUGGCUAUGGGAGGAAGAGUCAAGCAGAGGCAUGUCCUUUCCAUUCCUAGCUUGGGCAGUGGCUGGCGAGAGGAAGGCAUUCUGCUACAAGU